GAACGCACCUUGCGCUCCUUGGUAUUCCGAGGAGCAUGCCUGUUUGAGUGUCAUUAAAUUCUCAACCUUAUCAGUUUUGUUGUAAAACUAUGUAAGGCUUGGAUAUGGAGGUUUGCAGGUCCACUACCAUGGUCUGCUCCUCUGAAAUGUAUUAGCGGGUUUAAGCCCCCGUCUAUUAGUGUGAUAAUUAUCUACGCUAUAGAUGUCGUAAGCUAUAAUUGACCAGCUUCUAAUCGUCUUUCGAGACAACUUUUGACAUUUUUGACCUCAAAUCAGGUAAGACUACCCGCUGAACUUAAG
rnacentral:misc_RNA from 1 species